rnacentral:sRNA from 1 species
UGAUUCUUUGAAGACAAACUUGGGGUUCACUAUAUUUAACACGUAGGACCCCUAGUAUCUGCCACUGGCCUGCAGGGGGUGGCUGCAGGGACACACACCUGUUGGGUGCCUGCUGGUUCCACCCAGGAGCACAGCCAGCAGCCUCAUGCCUCCUGCCCCCUGGCAGUCGAGUGCAUGUGGAGCGGGUGGCCUUGGCCUCGACAGGGUUCCCAGGGUCCCACUGGAAGCCCCACGUGGAACUGUGCCUCUGGGACGUCGCUCCGGGGACCUUGGGUGUGGGCUGGCCCCAUCCUGUGGGGAGGUCCUGGGAGGGUCAGUCUGGCCCGCCUGCCUGCUGACUUGGGUGUGGCCCGAGCAGGUAAAGGCAACACAGGAGGAGAACCGGGAGCUGAGGAGCAGGUGUGAGGAGCUCCAUGGGAAGAACCUGGAGCUGGGGAAGAUCAUGGACAGGUUCGAAGAGGUUGUGUACCAGGCCAUGGAGGAAGUUCAGAAACAGAAGGAACUUGCCAAAGCUGAAAUCCAGAAAGUUCUAAAAGAAAAAGACCAACUUACUACAGAUCUGAACUCCAUGGAGAAGUCCUUCUCCGACCUCUUCAAGCGUUUCGAGAAACAGAAGGAAGUGAUCGAGGGCUACCGCAAGGUAUGUCUCCGCCACCCUGGUGUCCUCACCUCGGAGGUUGAUGGACUCAUGGUCCAAGCCAGCGGGGCUACAAGCUGCUGUCUUUGCACCUUGGUCCUUGGCCAAGCCUCCCCUUGCCAUGGGGGCAUGGGAUGACCUGUGAACGAGACGGGGUGCAGGAGUCACAGCAUAGCUGGUUUGCGAGGCAGCUGAGGGUGGCAGGAGGCAGAGUGAGCAGGGAGGCCAUCUGAGCCGUCCGCUGUUGUGUGAAAGACGACAGCUAUGAUCAAACAUCUGUGAGAUUUGAGACAGCACUGGCGCACCGGG